rnacentral:rRNA from 1 species
UACGUAAGGGGCGAGCGUUGUUCGGGAUUAUUGGGCGUAAAGGGUGAGUAGGCGGAUAUAUAAGUCUAUGCAUAAAAUACCACAGCUCAACUGUGGACCUAUGUUGGAAACUAUAUGUCUAGAGUCUGAUAGAGGAAGUUAGAAUUUCUGGUGUAAGGGUGGAAUCUGUUGAUAUCAGAAAGAAUACCGGAGGCGAAGGCGAACUUCUGGGUCAAGACUGACGCUGAGUCACGAAAGCGUAGGGAGCAAACA